GUCGGAAUCGCUAGUAAUCGUGGAUCAGAAUGCCACGGUGAAUACGUUCCCGGGCCUUGUACACACCGCCCGUCACACCAUGGGAGUGGGUUGCAAAAGAAGUAGGUAGCUUAACCUUCCGGAGGGCGCUUACCACUUUGUGAUUCAUGACUGGGGUGAAGUCGUAACAAGGUAACCGUAGGGGAACCUGCGGUUGGAUCACCUCCUUACCUUAAAGAAGC
rnacentral:rRNA from 1 species